UGGAGUCAGAAGGUGCCUCUAGAGAUGAUCACCUUUGCACUCAGCAUUCACAGCACAAAUCUACUUUCUGCAGUCAGGUGAAAAAAAAGUGGAAUGGAAGGAAACGGCCAUCAUCUGGAGUCAGAAGGUGCCUCUAGAGAUGAUCACCACUGCACCCAGCAUUCACAGCACGAGUCUACUUUCUCCAGUCAGAUAUGUCUCUGAUGCUCCACCAUCACUGCUGGUUUGGGAUUUACUUUUGAGCUGCUUCCUCUUAACAAUAUAAGUAGAGUCAAAUGACUCAUUUUCUGUUUCUAAAUGACAUGAAAUUUUAAACUUUCAAGGGACGGUGAGGCAGCAGACUGGAAAAUUGGGUUAAAUGAACUAAGAAUAUAUGAAAGGUACAUUAUUAUAUAUAGAUUAUUUGAAUAUAAAUGAUAUUAUUAUUUGAUGGCUGCUGAUGAGGCUGCAUAUAAUGCUGGUGUAGCAUCGGCCCAAACAAGGACUGAACCCCUUUUGUACUUUUUAGCAGCCCGAAGCGUUACUACUGCACCCCCCACCCCCCAGAGGCGCAGGUGUAGCAGCAUUGACUGAUCCCUUACAAAAUCUGUCCUCCUCUUCACUUUUUACAAAGACUUAUAGGCUAUAAGUUCAUACAUUACAGUAACUCACUAUGCAAAUACUUUUUAUCAUGGUUAUAAAUCAUAUAGAGAUCUCAUAAGGUACUAAUCUUACACCCCAUCAUCCCCCAUGCUUUUCAUCAUAACAAUGUAUUUGUCCUUUUCUGAUGUGGAAAACAAUCUACAGGUGAACG